UAAAUAUACCGUGAUUAUUUAUAAUACAUUUAACAUUCAGUCACACAUGAAUAUUGUUGAAACAUAAUUCAUUGAGAAUGAUUAUUCUUAAUUAACCUUAAUUGAUUGUGUCAUCGUGAAAAUAUGAUGCCUUCAUGACUCUAACAAUCUAGCCAAAAUUGGUCUUCAAUCCAAAAACUAUCAUUGGACCAUUAGUCAAGUCACCCUAGUUUUUGGUGAUCAAUAGUCAUGGUUUGGUCUAAUGAAUUGGCCAAUGAUUGUGACUGUAAAUCUCUAGUUCCUCAAUCAAACCUAUUUUGAAGUAAAUGUAAAAAUUGUGUGAUUAAAUUAGGUUAAAGUAAUGAAAGGAUUGUAUCUAAGCCCUCAAUGGGCAACAUAAUAGUCACCUAUAAUUUACUUUGACAUUCUAUAUUUGGGUAUUUACUUUUUACACAUUG
rnacentral:lncRNA from 1 species